rnacentral:rRNA from 1 species
UACGGAAGGCAGCAGUGGGGAAUAUUGCACAAUGGGCGAAAGCCUGAUGCAGCUAUGCCGCGUGUAUGAAGAAGGCCUUAGGGUUGUAAAGUACUUUCAUCGGGGAGGAAAAACAAAACUAAUAAUUUUAUUUCUUGACGUUACCCGAAAAAGAAGCACCGGCUAACUCCGUGCCAGCAGCCGCGGUAAUACGGAGGGUGCUAGCGUUAAUCAGAAUUACUGGGCGUAAAGAGCACGUAGGUGGUUUUUUUAAAGUCAGAUGUGAAAUCCCUGGGCUUAACCUAGGAACUGCAUUUUGAAACUGAAAUACUAGAGUAUCGUAGAGGGAGGUAGAAUUCUAGGUGUAGCGGUGAAAUGCGUAGAUAUCUGGAGGAAUACCUGUGGCGAAAGCGGCCUCCUAAACCGAAUACUGACACUGAGGUGCGAAAGCGUGGGGAGCAAACAGGGAUUAGAUACCCGU